AGAAGAGGACUUAUUGUAUUCGAACAACGAACUGACUCCAACUGGACCGAACUGGAACUACGCAGUAUCAUUUUUUGUUUGGACUGGAGAUACCGAGUUCCAUGUGGAACGCUCACAGGAACUCAUGCGAGAGGAGUCGGAAGAUCUUCGAACGUCUCUUUAUGCAAAAAUAUAAAGAAGACGAUGGAGGACGCAGGAAUUGGGACGCUCCGUGAUCUAGGACGCAAUUUGGCAAGUUGGACUUGCACAUACUCGCGAGAUGAAGCACAAACAUUCUAAAUAAGAAUGAAGUUAACAAGCUGAAUGAAUGACCAAAUUUUUCACAUA